rnacentral:rRNA from 1 species
ACGGAAGGCAGCAGUGGGGAAUAUUGCACAAUGGGCGAAAGCCUGAUGCAGCGACGCCGCGUGAACGAUGAAGUAUUUCGGUAUGUAAAGUUCUAUCAGCAGGGAAGAUAAUGACGGUACCUGACUAAGAAGCACCGGCUAAAUACGUGCCAGCAGCCGCGGUAAUACGUAUGGUGCAAGCGUUAUCCGGAUUUACUGGGUGUAAAGGGAGCGUAGGCGGCUUUGCAAGUCUGAUGUGAAAGCCCGGGGCUCAACUCCGGUAUUGCAUUGGAAACUGUAGAGCUAGAGUGUCGGAGGGGUAAGUGGAAUUCCUAGUGUAGCGGUGAAAUGCGCAGAUAUUAGGAGGAACACCAGUGGCGAAGGCGGCUUACUGGACGAUUACUGACGCUGAGGCUCGAAAGCGUGGGGAGCAAACAGGAUUAGAUACCCUGGUA